UGUAUGUAAAUAUUUUUUAACAUAUUAUGACAUAUAUUUAACAUAAUUAUUUCUUAUAUUUAGGUUUUUGGUAUCCAUUCAUCACUUUUUUCGUUCAACUGUGGAAUGUUUGAAUUUGAACACUUUGUACUUUCUUUUCAGACGCACAAAAACAACCAUGUGUGAAUGAUGAGAUCUCAUCCAUCACAUCAGUUGAACAAAAGUUGGAAAUCCGCAAAACAGCGCAUGUGAGGCCCAGUCAUUUGAGCGGAUAGUGUUCCACUUCAUUGUUCCCUAGCUGUAGAGUUGUUGGAGAAAACCCUGUAUUGUUAUGUUACAAAGAUAAUUAAAUAAAAGAGUAGAAUUUA